rnacentral:rRNA from 1 species
AAAUUGAAGAGUUUGAUCAUGGCUCAGAUUGAACGCUGGCGGCAGGCCUAACACAUGCAAGUCGAACGGUAACAGGAAACAGCUUGCUGUUUCGCUGACGAGUGGCGGACGGGUGAGUAAUGUCUGGGAAACUGCCUGAUGGAGGGGGAUAACUACUGGAAACGGUAGCUAAUACCGCAUAACGUCGCAAGACCAAAGAGGGGGACCUUCGGGCCUCUUGCCAUCGGAUGUGCCCAGAUGGGAUUAGCUAGUAGGUGGGGUAACGGCUCACCUAGGCGACGAUCCCUAGCUGGUCUGAGAGGAUGACCAGCCACACUGGAACUGAGACACGGUCCAGACUCCUACGGGAGGCAGCAGUGGGGAAUAUUGCACAAUGGGCGCAAGCCUGAUGCAGCCAUGCCGCGUGUAUGAAGAAGGCCUUCGGGUUGUAAAGUACUUUCAGCGGGGAGGAAGGGAGUAAAGUUAAUACCUUUGCUCAUUGACGUUACCCGCAGAAGAAGCACCGGCUAACUCCGUGCCAGCAGCCGCGGUAAUACGGAGGGUGCAAGCGUUAAUCGGAAUUACUGGGCGUAAAGCGCACGCAGGCGGUUUGUUAAGUCAGAUGUGAAAUCCCCGGGCUCAACCUGGGAACUGCAUCUGAUACUGGCAAGCUUGAGUCUCGUAGAGGGGGUAGAAUUCCAGGUGUAGCGGUGAAAUGCGUAGAGAUCUGGAGGAAUACCGGUGGCGAAGGCGGCCCCCUGGACGAAGACUGACGCUCAGGUGCGAAAGCGUGGGGAGCAAACAGGAUUAGAUACCCUGGUAGUCCACGCUGUAAACGAUGUCGACUUGGAGGUUGUGCCCUUGAGGUGUGGCUUCCGGAGCUAACGCGUUAAGUCGACCGCCUGGGGAGUACGGCCGCAAGGUUAAAACUCAAAUGAAUUGACGGGGGCCCGCACAAGCGGUGGAGCAUGUGGUUUAAUUCGAUGCAACGCGAAGAACCUUACCUGGUCUUGACAUCCACGGAAGUUUUCAGAGAUGAGAAUGUGCCUUCGGGAACCGUGAGACAGGUGCUGCAUGGCUGUCGUCAGCUCGUGUUGUGAAAUGUUGGGUUAAGUCCCGCAACGAGCGCAACCCUUAUCCUUUGUUGCCAGCGGUCCGGCCGGGAACUCAAAGGAGACUGCCAGUGAUAAACUGGAGGAAGGUGGGGAUGACGUCAAGUCAUCAUGGCCCUUACGACCAGGGCUACACACGUGCUACAAUGGCGCAUACAAAGAGAAGCGACCUCGCGAGAGCAAGCGGACCUCAUAAAGUGCGUCGUAGUCCGGAUUGGAGUCUGCAACUCGACUCCAUGAAGUCGGAAUCGCUAGUAAUCGUGGAUCAGAAUGCCACGGUGAAUAGGUUCCCGGGCCUUGUACACACCGCCCGUCACACCAUGGGAGUGGGUUGCAAAAGAAGUAGGUAGCUUAACCUUCGGGAGGGCGCUUACCACUUUGUGAUUCAUGACUGGGGUGAAGUCGUAACAAGGUAACCGUAGGGGAACCUGCGGUUGGAUCACCUCCUUACCUUAAAGAAGC